AAUAACAUUCCCUAACCCUAACCCUAAUCUCACCACCCCACUAUAUAUAUCUCACCUUCUCUUUGCUUUCUCCUAUGCUCUCUUCUCUAAAGCUCAACCUAAAGUCUCUAUCUUCAACUUGGUCAGCUCCUCCUCUUAAACCAUGCAACCUAUUUAUCUUUCACCACCUUCCACUCACCAACUGAGAAUGGUAGGGGAAAACAGCAAAGAAGAAGGUGAAAAGGAUGAGAUUAAAGGGAAUGUUUAUGGGAGAUCAAAGUAGAGAAAUGAUGGUGCUAUCCUAACUGAGCUUUAUGAUCUUUACCCUUCCAUCAUCCUUUCUAUCUUCUUUCCCACAAGAAAAGGUCUUCUUGACCUUGUAAGACCUUUUCUUGACCUUGUAAGACCCCACCUUUCACUCAUCAUCUUCAUUCACAAUCUCUUGCCUUCUCCUCCUCCAUCCCUGUCUAUCCCUCUUGAGCUUUAAUUCUAUUAUAAUUAUUAUUAUUUUGUUAUUAAAAAUUUUAUAUAUUAUUAUUUUUAAUGUGGUGAUGUUUGAGUGGACUGUAAAAAAGGAAAGGAAAGGAAAGAAAAGAAAUUAUUCUCUUUUGGUGGUCAUUCAUAGAUGUACUACUACUGCAACGUAUAAAUGUCUGCAUUAUUUGUGAAGUA